UCAUCCUCCUUCUAAUGUGUAAAGCUGCUGGGGCCAUUUAUGCAUGCAGUCUGAUUUCUGAUAUGAAGGGGAAAUUUGUUAGGAUAUUUCAAUUCUUAUUUAUUUUAAUUUUCAGUUGUUGUUGAGUUCCAUUCCUGUUUUCAGGAUGUGUACCGCCUCGGUGACUUUCAGUCAGGUGGAUGGGCAAUUUUGUUUGUCUCCUUCCAUAUGGUUGAUCAGCUCAUUUCCAUUUAUGCUGGAUAUGUUGCUUGUCUAAGUUCAGAGCUUCUCAAAGCAGACGGCACUACAUCCCUGGUAUGGUGGUGCAGGGAGAUGGAAGAUUAUCCGCGGAUACUGAAAACAAAAGAGCAAGCACAAAACGCAGAACAAUGACUACGUCAAAAUAACAAUACACAUGAAAAUGUAAACAAAGCGAAAAUACCGAAAGUAAUACGAUGGCGGACCGGGGCGUGGGUUGGACGUCUUCGAAUAAGCGUGAAGAA